CAGUCGCCGCGGGAAUACGAAGGGGGCUAGCGUUGUUCGGAAUUACUGGGCGUAAAGGGCGCGUAGGCGGCCAUUCAAGUUAGAUGUGAAAGCCCUGGGCUCAACCUAGGAAUUGCAUUUGAUACUGUUUGGCUUGAGUUCGGGAGAGGUGAGUGGAAUUCCCAGUGUAGAGGUGAAAUUCGUAGAUAUUGGGAAGAACACCAGUGGCGAAGGCGGCUCACUGGACCGACACUGACGCUGAGGCGCGAAAGCGUGAGGAGCAAACAGGAUUAGAUACCCGGGUAGUCCCUGUCUCUUAUAC
rnacentral:rRNA from 1 species